UACAGAGGGGGCUAGCGUUAUUCGGAAUUAUUGGGCGUAAAGGGCGCGUAGGCGGCCAUGCGUGUCUUCCGUGAAAUCCCUCGGCUUAACUGAGGACGUGCGGAAGAAACUGCAAGGCUCGAGUCCGGGAGAGGGGGGUGGAAUUCCCAGUGUAGCGGUGAAAUGCGUAGAGAUCGGGAAGAACAUCGGUGGCGAAAGCGCUCUACUGGACGGUAUCUGACACUGAGGGACGAAAGCUAGGGGAGCGAAUGGG
rnacentral:rRNA from 1 species